rnacentral:rRNA from 1 species
UACGGAGAGUGCAAGCGUUAUCCGGAUUUACUGGGUUUAAAGGGAGCGUAGGUGGGUCUGUAAGUCAGUGGUGAAAUCUCCGGGCUUAACCUGGAAACUGCCAUUGAUACUAUAGGUCUUGAAUAUUGUGGAGGUUAGCGGAAUAUGUCAUGUAGCGGUGAAAUGCUUAGAUAUGACAUAGAACACCAAUUGCGAAGGCAGCUGGCUACGCAUAUAUUGACACUGAGGCUCGAAGGCGUGGGGAUCAAACAGG